GGAAAUUCACCGUAGGCUGCCUGAAGGGCAAUGGAGAAGAUCAAAGAUAGAAAUGGACCAAGACAAACUCAAAUAACGAAGAGCAUCAAAAAGCCCAUCUUACCUUAGAAAUGCUAAGCCAAUGGUGUUUAUAUCAGCAUUUACAACUCUAUGAGUAUGACACAGGGUGGAAGAAUUGGAAGAUGUAUGGAUGUCAACUUGGUCUUCUUAAGGGAUGAAGAAAAUGAGGCUCAGAUCAAGCAGCCAGUGAGAAACAGAUGCAGAAUUUAACCCAGGACUGGUCGAUUCAGAGCACGUUUAGAGUGGAACUAAAUGUGGGAGAUAAGAUAGCACUCCCCAAAAGAGGUGAAAAGUCUAAGGAUGAAAAGAACAUUAGUUUUGUUAACUGGAGAUCUGGGUUGAAAAAUGGCUCUGCUCCUUCCUUGUUUCUGAACUGAUAUAAAUUGCUGAGUUUUGAUGUACCUAAAUGGGCUCACCUUUGAGUAGGCAUAGACAAGUUACAUCAUCAUGCUUU